rnacentral:rRNA from 1 species
GACGAACGCUGGCGGUGUGCUUCACACAUGCAAGUCGAACGAGGUAGCAAUACCUAGUGGCGGACGGGUGAGUAACGCGUGGGAAUCUGCCUUUAGAUGGGGGAUAACGGGUCGAAAGACUCGCUAAUACCGCAUAUGACGAAAGUUGAAAGGAGUAAUCCGUCUAAAGAUGAGCCCGCGUCCGAUUAGCUAGUUGGUAGAGUAAAAGCCUACCAAGGCGACGAUCGGUAGCUGGUCUGAGAGGAUGAUCAGCCAACAAAUGGGACGUGAGACACGGCCCAUACUCCUACGGGAGGCAGCAGUGGGGAAUUUUACGCAAUGGGCGAAAGCCUGACGUAGCGACACCGCGUGAGCGAAGAAGCCCCUUGGGGUGUAAAGCUCUGUCAGCUGGAACGAAAAAAAU